GGGGUCGUAAAGGCUUCGACGGGGAUUUGAAAUCACGAUAAGCGAGCAGCGGGGGCGAACCGCUUAAAUAGCGCAAACCUUAAAAUUAAACGCAGACGAUAACUCUGUAUUAGCAGCUGCCUAAGCGCGCUGCCGUCGUACCUCGCAGUUCCGCGGGCGGGGAUCGGCGUCGAUUAGCGGAGAACGACCACCGCGAUUAGCCUUGUAACGGCGGUUGUAUCAAAGGCUACCGAACGCGAAAGCCUGUUUGUCGGCGUCCGCGCAAGGGAAUCACAAAAGACACACUGCGCUCGGAGAAGAUUGUGAGGACGGGUUUUCGGACAGGGGUUCAAUUCCCCUCGGCUCCACCA
rnacentral:tmRNA from 1 species